AUUCCUGAUGUUGAGUCGGAAUCUCCUUUCCUGUAAGUUGAAGCCAUUGGUUCAGGGAAGCAGGAGAAAACAAGUUUGCUGCAUCUUCCAUGUGACAACCCUUGAGAUAUUUGAAGAUGGCCGUCCUAUCUCCUCUCCAGUCUCCUCUUUUCCACGCUAAACAUACGCAGCUUCUUC